UACGAAGGGGGCUAGCGUUGCUCGGGAUGACUGGGCGUAAAGGGCGCGUAGGCGGAUUGUACAGUCAGGCGUGAAAUUCCCGGGCUCAACCUGGGGGCUGCGCUUGAGACGUGCGAUCUUGAGUGGGGAAGAGGGUCGUGGAAUUCCCAGUGUAGAGGUGAAAUUCGUAGAUAUUGGGAAGAACACCGGUGGCGAAGGCGGCGACCUGGUCCUUGACUGACGCUGAGGCGCGAAAGCGUGGGGAGCAAACAGG
rnacentral:rRNA from 1 species